rnacentral:rRNA from 1 species
GUGGGGAAUAUUGCACAAUGGGCGCAAGCCUGAUGCAGCGACGCCGCGUGAGGGAUGGAGGCCUUCGGGUUGUAAACCUCUUUUAUCGGGGAGCAAGCGAGAGUGAGUUUACCCGUUGAAUAAGCACCGGCUAACUACGUGCCAGCAGCCGCGGUAAUACGUAGGGUGCAAGCGUUAUCCGGAAUUAUUGGGCGUAAAGGGCUCGUAGGCGGUUCGUCGCGUCCGGUGUGAAAGUCCAUCGCUUAACGGUGGAUCCGCGCCGGGUACGGGCGGGCUGGAGUGCGGUAGGGGAGACUGGAAUUCCCGGUGUAACGGUGGAAUGUGUAGAUAUCGGGAAGAACACCAAUGGCGAAGGCAGGUCUCUGGGCCGUUACUGACGCUGAGGAGCGAAAGCGUGGGGAGCGAACAGGAUUAGAAACCCGGGUAGUCC